rnacentral:snoRNA from 1 species
UGGAAAUGAUGAAAAAGAGGUAUUUGGAUGUCUGUCUGAAUGGCUUGUGUGAUUGGGGAAACUAUUCUAAUUAAAUUCUUAAUUUAUACUUUUAGUAGUGCUCUAUUUGGGAGGGGGGAGUGUAUGUGUGUGUAAGUGUACAAAAGCUUCAAAAUGGGGGCACUGAUGGAUAAAGUGCUGAUUUUGGAGUGCAUCUGAGGCAUGUUGUAUUACAACAUUGCCAAUGAUUAAAGACCAAGAUAAGCUCACCAGAUUAGUCUAGACAUCCUAAAAAUCUCUAACAGGUUCACUGAUGUAAGUGAUCCUGUGAUCUGAUCCAA